UACAGAACACGUCUCCGAGUCUUAAGCCUAAAAGGAUGGACCUCAUGGCUGACGGGCCGGCAGGGUUUCGCUGGAAACGGCGGAGCCUCCCUUUCGGAAAGGAGAUAUUUGCAUUUUGAG
rnacentral:ncRNA from 21 species